UACGAAGGGGGCUAGCGUUGCUCGGAAUUACUGGGCGUAAAGCGCACGUAGGCGGUCUUUUAAGUCGGUGGCGAAAUCCUGGAGCUCAACUUCAGAACUGCCUUCGAUACUGGAAGACUUGAGUCCGGGAGAGGUGAGUGGAACUGCGAGUGUAGAGGUGAAAUUCGUAGAUAUUCGCAAGAACACCAGUGGCGAAGGCGGCUCACUGGCCCGGUACUGACGCUGAGGUGCGAAAGCGUGGGGAGCAAACAGG
rnacentral:rRNA from 1 species